rnacentral:rRNA from 1 species
CCUACGGGCGGCAGCAGUGGGGGAUAUUGCACAAUGGAGGGAACCCUGAUGCAGCGACGCCGCGUGAGUGAAGAAGUCCUUCGUGUUGUAAACCUCUGUCAGCGGGGAAGAAAAUGACGGUACCUAACUAAGAAGCCCCGGCUAACUACGUGCCAGCAGCCGCGGUAAUACGUAGGGAGCAAGCGUUAUCCGGAAUUACUGGGUGUAAAGGGAGCGUAGGCGGCAGCGAAAGUCGAAUGUGAAACCCCCGGGCCAAACCAGUGGCUGAUUUUGAAAACUUUUGGCUGGAGUGACGGAGGGGCAGGCGGAAUUCCUGGUGUAGCGGUGAAAUGCGUAGAUAUCAGGAGGAACACCGGUGGCGAAGGCGGCCUGCUGGGCUGUAACUGACGUUGAGGCUCGAAAGCGUGGGGAGCAAACAGGAUUAGAUACCCGAGUAGUC